rnacentral:snoRNA from 1 species
GGAAAUAUGAUGUUUCCAAUAUUUGCUACUUCAGACGGAGCAUAACAGCUUCGAAUGAGACAUUCAUAAUCACCAAGAUCUCUGAUUCC